UAUUUAUAAUAUUGUCUUUUAUAAUGUUUUUUUUAAUUUUAAAUUAAGUAAAAUUAGGUCUUUGUAUAAUUAAUUAAUUAGAUUAUUUUAACUAUAGUAAAUUAGUAUUGUGAGUGAAAUUAAAAUUAAUGAUUAUAAUUUUUAAAAGUUUAUUUUAAUUAUAGUAUCUUGUGUAUCAGAGUAUAUAGAAAUGUAAAAUUUAAUUUAUUUUCUCGAAUUUAAAAGAGCUAAUUAAAUAAUUUAUUUAUUGUGUUAUAAAUAUUAAAAAUGUUUAAUUGGUAAUGAAAUGUUAAUCGUUUUUAAGGAUAUCUAGUUUUUUAAUAAAUGAAUUUAAUUCACAAUCUUUAUAUUUACUUUAUUUUUAAAGGAUUAAAGUAUUUAGAGGUUUUAAUUUUAAAAGGGAAAAUCUUUUUAAAAUAUUAUUAUAAUUAUUUAUUUUUAUAGAAUUUUAUAAAUUUAGAAUUUGUUAAUAUUUAAAGGAUGUUAAAAUUUAAUUCUAUAUUUAUUAGAUUUGUUGUUUAUUUAAAAUUUAUAUUAAAAUGUUAAUAAUAGUUAAGUAUAUUUAAUAAAUAUUAUUUAAUUAGUAAAUUUAUAUUUAUUUGUUAUAAUUAUUGAAAGGUUAAUUUAAAUAAUUAGGCAAAUAUUUUACUCGCCUGUUUAUUAAAAACAUGGUUUCUUGACUUAUGAAUAAGAGAUUUAACCUGCCCACUGAAAUAUUUUUGAAGGGCCGCAGUAUUUUGACUGUGCAAAGGUAGCAUAAUCAUUAGUCUUUUAAUUAAAGGCUGGAAUGAAUGGUUGGACGAGGUAAAUUCUGUUUCAAAUUAAUUUUUAUUGAAUUUAGACUUUAAGUAAAAAUACUUAAAUUUUAUUAAGGGACGAGAAGACCCUAUAGAGUUUAAUAAAUAUACUAUUAAUUGAGUUAUUUUUUAAUUUUUGGUUAAUAUGAAAUUUAUUUAAUUGGGGUGAUUAGAAGAUAAACAUAACUCUUCUUUAAUUUAAAUAAUUUAUUUAGAUAAUUGAUCCAUAAUAAUGAUUAUAAGAUUAAAUUACCUUAGGGAUAACAGCAUAAUUUUCUUUAAGAGUUCUUAUCGAAAAGAGAGAUUGUGACCUCGAUGUUGGAUUAAGAUAAAUUUUGGGUGUAGAUGUUCAAAUAUUAGGUCUGUUCGACCUUUAAAUUCUUACAUGAUCUGAGUUUAAACCGGCGUGAGCCAGGUUGGUUUCUAUCUUUAAUUUUAUUAAACUUUUUAGUACGAGAGGACCCAAAGUUUAAAAUAAUUUUAUUUUAAAUGAAUAUUAAUAAUUAG
rnacentral:rRNA from 1 species